AAUGAACGCUGGCGGUAUGCCUAACACAUGCAAGUCGAACGGCAGCACAGUAAGAGCUUGCUCUUGCGGGUGGCGAGUGGCGGACGGGUGAGGAAUACAUCGGAAUCUACUUUUUCGUGGGGGAUAACGUAGGGAGACUUCCGCUAAUACCGCAUACAUCCUACGGAGGAGAGCAGGGGAUCUUCGGGCCUUGCGCGGUGGAAUGAGCCGAUGUCGGAUUAGCUAGUUGGCGGGGUAAAGGCCCAACAAGGCGACGAUGCGUAGCUGGUCUGAGAGGGUGAUUAGCCACAUUGGAAGUGAGACACGGUCCAGACUCCUACGGGAGGCAGCAGUGGGGAAUAUUAGGCAAGGGGCGAAAGCCGGAUCCAGCAAUACCGGGUGGGUGAAGAAGGCCUUCGGGUGGGAAAGCCAUGUUGUUGGGAAAGAAAAGCAGCAGGUUAAUACCACGCUGUUCUGACGGUACCCAAAGAAUAAGCACCGGCUAACUUCGUG
rnacentral:rRNA from 1 species